AGUCCCGUGGUGUAGUGGUCAAUCAUGCUGGCCUUUGGAGCCGGCGACUGCGGUUCGAAUCCGCACGGGACUACCA
rnacentral:tRNA from 1 species